rnacentral:rRNA from 1 species
UACGUAGGGACCAAGCGUUGUUCGGAUUUACUGGGCGUAAAGGGCGCGUAGGCGGCGCAGUAAGUCACUUGUGAAAUCUCCGGGCUUAACUCGGAGCGGCCAAGUGAUACUGCUGUGCUAGAGUGCAGAAAGGGCAAUCGGAAUUCUCGGUGUAGCGGUGAAAUGCGUAGAUAUCGAGAGGAACACCUGAGGCGAAGGCGGGCUACUGGGCCGAUACUGACGCUGAGGCGCGAAAGCCAGGGGAGCACACGGG